rnacentral:rRNA from 1 species
AUAUCAAUAAGCGCAGGAAAAGAAACCAACAGGGAUUGCCUCAGUAACGGCGAGUGAAGCGGCAACAGCUCAAAUUUGAAAUCUGGCCUCUCGGGGUCCGAGUUGUAAUUUGUAGAGGAUGUUUUGGGUACCGCCCCGGUUUAAAUUUCUUGGAACAGAAUGUCAAAGAGGGUGAGAAUCCCGUCUUGGACCGGCGGUAGGGCCUAUGUAAAACUCCUUCGACGAGUCGAGUUGUUUGGGAAUGCAGCUCAAAAUGGGUGGUAAAUUCCAUCUAAAGCUAAAUAUUGGGGAGAGACCGAUAGCGAACAAGUACCGUGAGGGAAAGAUGAAAAGAACUUUGGAAAGAGAGUUAAACAGUACGUGAAAUUGCUGAAAGGGAAACGCUUGAAGUCAGUCGCGUCGUUCAGGACUCAGCCUUGCUUUGCUUGGUGUACUUUCUGUUCGACGGGUCAGCAUCAAUUUUGGUCGGUGGAUAAAGGCUCAGAGAAUGUGGCAUCUUCGGGUGUGUUAUAGCUCUGGGUCGCAUACAUCGGCUGGGAUUGAGGAACUCAGCACGCCGCAAGGCCGGGUACUUGUACCACGUACGUGCUUAGGAUGCUGGCAUAAUGGCUUUAAUCGA